rnacentral:rRNA from 1 species
AUGGCGAAGAAGGCCGCAAAGCGAGCUGCUGGUGAAGCAAGGGGUCGGGCAUAUGAGGACCUCUACCAACGGUUAGGCACGAAGGAAGGUGAAAGGGACAUCUAUAAGAUGGCUAAGAUCCGGGAGAGGAAGACGAGGGAUAUUGGCCAAGUCAAAUGCAUCAAGGACGGAGCAGGCCAACUCUUGGUGAAGGACGAAGAGAUUAAGCAUAGAUGGCAGGAGUACUUCGACAAGCUGUUCAAUGGGGAGAAUGAGAGUUCUACCAUUGAACUGAAUGACUCCUUUGAUGAGACCAGCAUGCGUUUUGUGCGGCGCAUCCAGGAGUCUGAGGUGAAGGAGGCUUUAAAAAGGAUGAAAGGAGGCAAGGCGAUGGGCCCUGAUUGUAUCCCCAUUGAGGUGUGGAAAGGUCUCGGGGACAUAGCGAUAGUAUGGCUAACCAAGCUUUUCAACCUCAUUUUUCGGGCAAACAAGAUGCCAGAAGAAUGGAGACGGAGUAUAUUAGUACCAAUCUUCAAGAACAAGGGGGAUGUUCAGAGUUGUACUAAUUACCGUGGAAUUAAGCUGAUGAGCCAUACAAUGAAGCUAUGGGAGAGAGUUAUUGAGCACCGCUUAAGAAGAAUGACAAGCGUGACCAAAAAUCAGUUUGGUUUCAUGCCUGGGAGGUCGACCAUGGAAGCCAUUUUCUUGGUACGACAACUUAUGGAGAGAUAUAGGGAGCAUAAGAAGGACUUGCAUAUGGUGUUCAUUGACUUGGAGAAGGCCUAUGAUAAGAUACCGUGGAAUGUCAUGUGGUGGGCCUUGGAGAAACACAAAGUCCCAGCAAAGUACAUUACCCUCAUCAAGGACAUGUACAAUAAUGUUGUGACAAGUGUUCGAACAAGUGAUGUCGACACCGAUGACUUCCCGAUUAAGAUAGGACUGCAUUAG